AGAAAAGUAAGCUAAAUAAGCUAAUGGGUUCAUACCCCAUUUAUAGAGUUUCCCCCUCUCUCUUCUA
rnacentral:tRNA from 1 species